UCCGGUGGCGAUGCGCUUAGGGGAAACACCCGUACCCAUCCCGAACACGAUGGUUAAGACUUAAGCGGCCGAUGGUACUAUGCUGGAGACGGCAUGGGAGAGCAGGUGG
rnacentral:rRNA from 1 species